CAGCCGCCGCGGUAAAACGUAGGGUGCGAGCGUUAAUCGGAAAUACUGGGCGUAAAGCGUGCGCAGGCGGUUGUGCAAGACAGAUGUGAAAUCCCCGAGCUUAACUUGGGAACUGCAUUUGUGACUGCACGGCUAGGGUGUGUCAGAGGGGGGUAGAAUUCCACGUGUAGCAGUGAAAUGCGUAGAUAUGUGGAGGAAUACCGAUGGCGAAGGCAGCCCCCUGGGAUAACACUGACGCUCAUGCACGAAAGCGUGGGGAGCAAACAGGAUUAGAUACCCGCGUAGUCCCUGUCUCUUAUAC
rnacentral:rRNA from 1 species